GACGAACGCUGGCGGCGUGCCUAAUACAUGCAAGUAGAACGCUGAAGAGAGGAGCUUGCUCUUCUUGGAUGAGUUGCGAACGGGUGAGUAACGCGUAGGUAACCUGCCUUGUAGCGGGGGAUAACUAUUGGAAACGAUAGCUAAUACCGCAUAACAAUGGAUGACACAUGUCAUUUAUUUGAAAGGGGCAAUUGCUCCACUACAAGAUGGACCUGCGUUGUAUUAGCUAGUAGGUGAGGUAACGGCUCACCUAGGCGACGAUACAUAGCCGACCUGAGAGGGUGAUCGGCCACACUGGGACGGAGACACGGCCCAGACUCCUACGGGAGGCAGCAGUAGGGAAUCUUCGGCAAUGGGGGCAACCCUGACCGAGCAACGCCGCGUGAGUGAAGAAGGUUUUCGGAUCGUAAAGCUCUGUUGUAAGUCAAGAACGAGUGUGAGAGUGGAAAGUUCACACUGUGACGGUAGCUUACCAGAAAGGGACGGCUAACUACGUG
rnacentral:rRNA from 1 species